AUCGAGUUUUCCCUGAUCAAGUAAGACAGACCCUAAGCUGGAGCCAACGUGGCUGCUUCUGGACCGCGCUCUGUCUUCCGUGAGAAACUGCAAGACCUCGAGCCACUGAGAGGGAGACCUAACAGGAGCCCCGAGAAGGGCCCCCUGCGUCGCUGGCACCUGCCUGGCACAGAGCCCUUGCUGUCUGUUGGAUGAUCACUUGUCCUGCAGCCAGGGACAGUGGGGUUUGGGUCCAGCCCUGCCACCUCCUGGCAACCUCAUUUGUGAGAGCUGUUGAGGGGGAGAAUGUGGAGAUUCCUGUGGGAUGCUCCCGGCCACGUCUACAGGAAGUGCUUACUGUUCAGUGGCAUGCUUUGUUUUGGAUAGAAUCGGACUCCCUCCCCAGCAGAGAGCGGGAGGCAGGCAUUGUGAUCCCUGUGCACUACAGAAGCUGGUGUUCUAAAGAUGCCCUGCGUGGCAUGGCCUCAUAUUCUGGAGCCAAACAGACUUCUGGGGGGAUGGUGUCUCCGUUUCCCCAACCCCAGGGGCCCAGCUGGGAGGAGACAGCAGGCUGAUCUUUCCACAAGACCUGCACUCAGUCCCCACAUCAACGGGCACUGCCCACCCAGACAGCACCUACUCCUGUGGGCAGCACCCAGAACCGGUGCUCACGAUGGGGAAGUCAGGACUUUGGAGAAGCGGGAAACUGGAGCCCAAGGGCAGGGUGCUCAGGAGAGACCCAUCCAGAUAGCAAUGCUCAAGGCCAAGUGAGACCAACGACCUGAAGUCCAGGGAGAAAGCAGUGCCAGUCCUGUUUCUCUGGGCCUCAUCCUCUCCUCCAUCAAAAUGAGGAACCGUGGACUGCAGGAGCAUUGAGGAAGGCACGUGGAGUCCCCGCUCUGUGUUGGGCCCCGUAGGGUGCCCUUCCUGUGGGCGGCCAUUCUGGGGGUGGCGCCCCCUGUCUGAAAUCAGCAGCACACCAGCUCCCUGUGCUCCGUGUGACAAGCUGCCGGGGACAAAGAGAGACUCCCCUGGGACCACAGCAGUAGGCACGGCAUUCCUGUGACAGAAAUCAAUGCCACAGAUCGAGGGAUGGAGCCACCGGCUCCCCAGGCUGAGUCCCCGUCCGGUAACGCGGCCACACUCCUUCCUCCCUCCAAGAAGAUCCCAGGGAGGGCGAUCCCGCCUGGAUGCGUUCCUCACUCCCUAUCAGGUGACCCCAGCCUCUGGGCAUUGGGAGGUGGCCACAUGGGGACAUGGACAUGAAGGCUGGGUGAGUGUGGGGACCAGGCGAGCUGGCUGCUGGACACCCACCCACCGAGCUGCACCAGACCCCACUCUCUGUGCUCUGGACCCCAGGAAGCAGUCAGGAUUGGGGGUCCCACUCACAGGCCCCGGUGCCUUCCACCUAGGCAGCUGCCAUGUGCACCCUCAGGCUUCAGACUCCUGGCCACGGGGGUGGUGGUGUGGACCCCAGGCCGUGUGUGCAGAUGCAGCAAGAUGACAUCAGCCAUUCAUUCACUGCGUCACCCCUCGCCUAGCUCCUUCUCAGAGCCUCACUCGGAACAGCACAUCUCCCAUCUCAGCUGCCCUGGCCACUUCUGUGUAGGAGGCAGGAGGGAUACUCCCACCACCCCGACCCUUACAGAUAACAGGCUCAGAAAGGCACCUGACCCCACAGCCCUUCAGUUGGGUUUGAACCUGGGUUGCUUGGUUUCAAAGCACAGGGGUUUGUCCUGCCCACUCACACCCCUCAAAGUGUGGAUGUGGGAAACACCGCUGAGGAGCCUGGACAUCCAGGAGGGCUCAGGAGACCCUUCCUGACUGCACCCCGGACAGGCCCACGACAGGCAGAUGGGACACAGGUCAGGAUGUGGCAGGCACACGGCCUGGCUUCUAGACACUUCUCAGACCUGGGAGAGGAGAGAGGGACAGGUGGUGUGGGCGUGCUGGAGGCGGGAAGGGGAUAAGAGUGUUGGUUAUCACGGGCAAUGUGGACACACGGCCAGGACAGGGGUCCACAGUAUUUCAGGAACCUCCCACAAGAUGAAACUUCUAGACAGACUUCCCUCCCUGUGAGAUACCUUAGGCUGUAGUGGAGAGGUCGCUGAAAGAAUCGAUAUUUCUAGAAAUUAGCUUUGGGAUCAGUUUGCGAAGCUGCGUCUCUGCUGACAAGUGAAUGAAGCCCGUGGGCAGGGAAUACACUGAGGCCUUAGGCCUGCAGAAGAGCACAGGUGCACCUGUGCCACACGGGCCGGAAUCAACCCAGGUGAAUUCCAGCCCAUGCCGCUGAUGCCAAGCAUGGACGAGGAAUCCAGCUGGGGCUGAAGUUCCGCUACGCUGUCAGUUCCACUGGGGAUGUGUGUUGCUCCUUCAGCCUCUGCCAGACACACAGGCCCGGUUCCAGCACCCGGGUGUUUGAGGCCAGUGUGUGAGUCAGCCAGGGAGCCUCAGCCUUUCCCACUGGCUUCAAAAAGACGUGGAGGCUGAUGGGGAGGAGGGAGGUUCCCCAGAGCAGGAGGCCAUCUGAUGUAAUGAACAUGCCUUCCUAAGACGCUGCCUGGGCCACAGCCAAGUGUGGUCGCUCUCUGAGCAGUCGAUGCCGCCACAAAAUGUCCUGGCAGCAGCGGCACGACCCCUGCACCCCGCCUGCUGCAUCCAGGACAGCGCCGGCCUCCCACGGCGGCUCCCGGGAGAAGAGGAGACGCCACUUUGGCUGCUGUCCCGGGGAGAGGGGAGACAGUCCUUCGACUUCAUGCAGGGGCUUGUCAACCCCAAAGCUUCCUCCGCCGCCAUCUGGGUCUGACGCUCUCCGCUGGAAGGUGUUCAGGAGGUGGCACCCCACGUCCACCAGUGCUGGCUUCAAAUCAAACAAUAAACGGCGUUUAAAAAAAUUAGUCCCACAGGUCAAGCCAGAGUCCCCUGCAGAUGCCUGUUCCUUCACACUCCGCGCCUUCCGCUCCCUUCGAGUGGUUGCACUCCCAGGCCUGUGGACGCACCUCGGCCAGAGCAAACCUGUAGCCUCUUCCCCAGCACGAAAGGCAGGAGGUGAAAAUCACCAGGUCCCUGUACCAUCAGGAAGGACCUGAACAGCCUCUGUCACCGUGUAUAACAAGUCUCACUGACUCCUUCUCCGGAGCAGGACUCCCGGGUCUGAGGCAAGGCUUCAGGAUGCUUUCCCGGCUCAGCCCUGGCCCUCCAUUACCUGCCCUGCCCGGCUUCUGCCCCACAGGGCUGCCUGGGGUCCUGGCCGCUUUGCGCGAGGAGAGGAUGGCUCCAGCCUCCUGACCUUGGAGGCUCCACAGACAGAAGACGCUGCCCCGGGACAUGAGGGCCCUGCCUGGCUUUGACCCUCCUCUGAUAACAGGGGACAGCCAAUGCCCUGCUGGGCCCACGGGGAACAGAAGCCAGUCUGGGCUGGGCCAUCCCCUGCAAGUGGUCCACUCCCCCGGCCGGCUGAUGGUGGAGUCCAGGCUGGCCUGGUGACAUGUGCGCCUCCAGAGGUGACAGAAGGGAUAUUCAAACUUCCAAGGCCCCAGAGGCCUCCAUCCCUGCCCAAGCACAGUUCAAACCUUCAAGCUCUUGGGGGUACUUUUGUGACGGCUGGGGUGGAGCUGGUGCUUCAUCUUCUCUUCCAGUCAGUGGAGUGAAACAGCAGGUCCAUCUUGCAUGUCUGUGUCUGCAGACGGAUGGUCCAGGGCCAUCCCUACACCCUCCUGUGCUGGGCCCGCAGGGAAGCCAGUUCCACCAGCAGUCUGCAGGUAACGGGGUCCCAGGCCAGGCACUCCCCUUGACCCCCUGUGGGUUUGUUCCUGCCACCCGCUCUGCCCCUCCUUGGGUGCCUCCCACCACCAGAUCUCCUGCAAGAUGGACGUCAGGGUCCUGGGAGAAAACAGUUCUGUGCUGGGGCCGCUUUGACCCCCAAGGACCCCGUGUCCAGAAGAACGGCAGCUUGUAACCCCAUCCCUGUAAUGAGAAUGAAAAUGAAUUCAAUUUGUAUCAUUUCCUAUAA
rnacentral:lncRNA from 1 species